rnacentral:rRNA from 1 species
CCCAGACUCCUACGGGAGGCAGCAGUGGGGGAUAUUGCACAAUGGGGGGAACCCUGAUGCAGCGACGCCGCGUGGGUGAAGGAGCGUUUCGGCGCGUAAAGCCCUCUCGGCAGGGAAGAAGGAGGACGGUACCUGACUAAGAAGCCCCGGCUAACUACGUGCCAGCAGCCGCGGUAAUACGUAGGGGGCAAGCGUUAUCCGGAUUUACUGGGUGUAAAGGGGGCGCAGACGGCAGCGCAAGCCAGGAGUGAAAGCCCGGGGCCCAACCCCGGGACUGCUCUUGGAACUGCGCGGCUGGAGUGCAGGAGGGGCAGGCGGAAUUCCUGGUGUAGCGGUGAAAUGCGUAGAUAUCAGGAGGAACACCGGUGGCGAAGGCGGCCUGCUGGACUGCAACUGACGUUGAGGCCCGAAAGCGUGGGGAGCAAACAGGAUUAGAUACCCUAGUAU